UGAGAGCUGGUGUAGUGGUUUGAAUGUUGGACUGCAACUCUGGAGUCCAGGAUUCGAUUCCCAGCUCAG